rnacentral:rRNA from 1 species
AACGAACGCUGGCGGCAGGCUUAACACAUGCAAGUCGAACGCCCCGCAAGGGGAGUGGCGCACGGGUGAGUGACGCGUGGGAAUAUGCCCUUCGGUUCGGAAUAACACAGGGAAACUUGUGCUAAUACCGGAUACGAUCUACGGAUGAAAGAUUUAUCGCCGAGGGAGUAGCCCGCGUAGGAUUAGCUAGUUGGUGAGGUAAUGGCUCACCAAGGCGACGAUCCUUAGCUGGUCUGAGAGGAUGAUCAGCCACACUGGGACUGAGACGCGGCCCAGACUCCUACGGGAGGCAGCAGUGGGGAAUAUUGGACAAUGGGCGAAAGCCUGAUCCAGCCAUGCCGCGUGAGUGAUGAAGGCCUUAGGGUUGUAAAGCUCUUUCGCCAGGGAAGAUAAUGACGGUACCUGGAAAAGAAGCCUCGGCUAACUCCGUGCCAGCCGCCGCAGUAACAC